rnacentral:rRNA from 1 species
CAGUCGCCACGGGAACACGUAGGGUGCGAGCGUUGUCCGGAACUAUUGGGCGUAAAGGGCUCGCAGGCGGUUUCUUAAGUCUGAUGUGAAAGCCCCCGGCUCAACCGGGGAGGGUCAUUGGAAACUGGGAAACUUGAGUGCAGAAGAGGAGAGUGGAAUUCCACGUGUAACGGUGAAAUGCGUAGAGAUGUGGAGGAACACCAGUGGCGAAGCCGACUCUCUGGUCUGUAACUGACGCUGAGGAGCGAAAGCGUGGGGAGCGAACAGGAUUAGAUACCCCUGUAGUCCCUGUCUCUUAUAA